rnacentral:tRNA from 1 species
UGGGAGAUAGCUCAGCUGGUAGAGCAUGUGUCUUACCAUACACAAGGUCCUGGGUUCGAGCCCUGGCACCUCAU